GUUUUAAUAGUUGAAGUACAACAGCGGUUUUUCGAGCCGCAGGUUUUGGUUUAGACCGAAUUAGAAUA
rnacentral:tRNA from 1 species